AGGACGGUAGCUCAGCGGGAGAGCACUACCUUGACAGGGUAGGGGUCAUGGGUUCGAUCCCCAUCCGUCCUACCA
rnacentral:tRNA from 1 species